AGGUUUCGUUGCUGACUCUCCGGAGUAUGUGCACGCCUCUCACACUUUAUUCAACCACCUGUGCACCUCUCGUAGCUUCUCAGAUGCUUUCAGUCUUCGGACUGGUGGGGACUGCUGCAGUGACUCUGCUCACAGCUUCAGUCCGAUAUCUGAGGGGUUGCGCUCUACACAAACUCUGUCAAUGUUUAAGAAUGUAUCACGGUCUUUUGGACCUUAAAACUAUAAUACAACUUUCAACAACGGAUCUCUUGGCUCUCGCAUCGAUGAAGAACGCAGCGAAAUGCGAUAAGUAAUGUGAAUUGCAGAUUUCAGUGAAUCAUCGAAUCUUUGAACGCACCUUGCGCUCCUUGGUAUUCCGAGGAGCAUGCCUGUUUGAGAGUCAUUAAAUUCUCAACUCUCUAGCGGUUGUCAUGACCGCUGGUAGAGCUUGGAUGUGAGGGUUUUGCCGGCUCCUUGCAGAGUCUGGCUCCCUUGAAAAAUAUUAGCGCAGCUUUGCACUGUCUGCUACAGGUGUGAUAAUCUAUCUACUCCUGAUUAGUGACGCGCAUGAAUAGAGCUAUGUGCUUCUAAUCGUCUCCGGACAAUUUUUUGAACUUGACCUCAAAUCAGGUAGGACUACCCGCUGAACUUAA
rnacentral:rRNA from 1 species